UACGUAGGGGGCAAGCGUUGUCCGGAUUUAUUGGGCGUAAAGAGCGUGUGAGGCGGCCAGGUAGGUCCGUUGUGAAAACUCGAGGCUCAACCUCGAGACGCCGAUGGAAACCCCCUGGCUAGAGUCCGGAAGAGGAGAGUGGAAUUCCUGGUGUAGCGGUGAAAUGCGCAGAUAUCAGGAAGAACACCCGUGGCUAAGGCGGCUCUCUAGUACGGUACUGACGCUGAGACGCGAAAGCGUGGGGAGCGAACAGG
rnacentral:rRNA from 1 species